GAUGAACGCUGGCGGCGUGCUUAACACAUGCAAGUCGAACGGGAAACCUUUUAUUGAAGCUUCGGCAGAUUUAACUGGUUUCUAGUGGCGGACGGGUGAGUAACGCGUGGGUAACCUGCCUUGUACAGGGGGAUAACAGUCAGAAAUGACUGCUAAUACCGCAUAAGCGCACAGGACCGCAUGGUCCGGUGUGAAAAACUCCGGUGGUAUAAGAUGGACCCGCGUUGGAUUAGCUUGUUGGUGGGGUAACGGCCCACCAAGGCGACGAUCCAUAGCCGGCCUGAGAGGGUGAACGGCCACAUUGGGACUGAGACACGGCCCAGACUCCUACGGGAGGCAGCAGUGGGGAAUAUUGCACAAUGGGGGAAACCCUGAUGCAGCGACGCCGCGUGAAGGAAGAAGUAUCUCGGUAUGUAAACUUCUAUCAGCAGGGAAGAAA
rnacentral:rRNA from 1 species